UACGAAGGGGGCUAGCGUUGCUCGGAAUUACUGGGCGUAAAGCGCACGCAGGUGGCUGAGUCAGUCGAUUGUGAAAGCCCUGGGCUUAACCUAGGAAUUGCAGUCGAUACUACUCGGCUAGAGUAUGGGAGAGGGCAGUGGAAUUCCCGGCGUAGCGGUGAAAUGCGUAGAUAUCGGGAGGAACAUCAGUGGCGAAGGCGGCUGCCUGGCCCAAUACUGACACUCAGGUGCGACAGCGUGGGGAGCAAACAGG
rnacentral:rRNA from 1 species